UACGGAGGGCGCAAGCGUUGUUCGGAAUCAUUGGGCGUAAAGCGCGUGUAGGCGGCCAUUUAAGUCGGAUGUGAAAGCCCGGGGCCCAACCCCGGAACUGCAUUCGAUACUGAGUGGCUGGAGUCCCGGAGAGGAAGGCGGAAGUCCCGGUGUAGAGGUGAAAUUCGUAGAUAUCGGGAGGAACAUCAGUGGCGCAGGCGGCCUUCUGGACGGUGACUGACGCUGAGACGCGAAAGCGUGGGGAGCAAACAGG
rnacentral:rRNA from 1 species